rnacentral:rRNA from 1 species
GCAGUCGACGCGUCCUUCGGGACGAGUGGCGCACGGGUGAGUAACGCGUGGGAAAUUGCCUUGGAGUGGGGGAUAACCACUGGAAACGGUGGCUAAUACCGCAUACGCCCUACGGGGGAAAGAUUUAUCGCUCCGAGAUGUGCCCGCGUCGGAUUAGGUAGUUGGUGAGGUAAUGGCUCACCAAGCCGACGAUCCGUAGCUGGU